rnacentral:misc_RNA from 1 species
GAAAUGCGAUACUUGGUGUGAAUUGCAGAAUCCCGUGAACCAUCGAGUCUUUGAACGCAAGUUGCGCCCGAAGCCAUUAGGCCGAGGGCACGCCUGCCUGAGGUCUCGAACGAGACCUCAGGUCAGGCGGGGCUACCCGCUGAGUUUAA